rnacentral:rRNA from 1 species
UAAAAAGGACUCUCGGCAACGGAUAUCUCGGCUCUUGCAUCGAUGAAGAACGUAGCGAAAUGCGAUACUUGGUGUGAAUUGCAGAAUCCCGCGAACCAUCGAGUCUUUGAACGCAAGUUGCGCCUGAAGCCAUUAGGUCGAGGGCACAUCUGCCUGGGCGUCUCAC